ensembl:lncRNA
GAGGUGAACGGUGAGCGGUGUAGCGUUGGCGCGGUGGACGGCGCGCUGCGAAGCGUGGACGAUUGGGGAGGCGCGAAACAGAACUCUUCCUAACCUUCACACGUAGUAACUGAAAGCACGUUCAGCUUCCAACUGCUCGUGAUCCCUUCUGGGGGAAAGCUGGCUGAAGCGACGUAGUGCUGUUUUAUCUCUUGUUUUCUGUCAUCCUGGGGAAAAAACUAUCAGGAGGAGUCCAAGUGAUUACCUGGCGAAGCUUAAAUACUAAUGGUUUCCAAACUGCGUGUGCAAAUAAUAACAUCUGAAGCCAUUCAUACCCUGCUUAAAAGAAGAUGUCUACUUUCAUCAUUAAUAUCAGCUAUCAUCUUUGGAUUUUGCUUCUGGUCAGUGCUUGUACUAACAAAGCUGCGCAGAUGGGAAUGCAGACAGAGGGUAAAA